rnacentral:rRNA from 1 species
UACGUAGGGCGCAAGCGUUGUCCGGAAUUAUUGGGCGUAAAGAGCUCGUAGGCGGCUUGUCACGUCGAUUGUGAAAGCCCGAGGCUUAACCUCGGGUCUGCAGUCGAUACGGGCUAGCUAGAGUGUGGUAGGGGAGAUCGGAAUUCCUGGUGUAGCGGUGAAAUGCGCAGAUAUCAGGAGGAACACCGGUGGCGAAGGCGCGCUGCUAGGCCGUAACUGACACUGAGGAGCGAAAGCGUGGGGAGCGAACAGG